AACGAACGCUGGCGGCAGGCCUCAAACAUGCAAGUCUAGGGGUGUAGCAAUACACACCGGCGGACGGGUGCGUAACACGUGGGAAUGUACCUACUGGUUCGGAACAACUGCGGGAAACUGCAGCUAAUACCGAAUGUGUCCUUACGGAGAAAGAUUUAUCGCCAGUAGAUCAGCCCGCGUCCGAUUAGCUAGUUGGUGGGGUAAAAGCUCACCAAGGCGACGAUCGGUAGCGUUCUGAGAGGAAGAUCAGCCACACUGGGACUGAGACACGGCCCAGACUCCUACGGGAGGCAGCAGUAAGGAAUAUUGCGC
rnacentral:rRNA from 1 species